rnacentral:misc_RNA from 1 species
GUGUAAUGUCAAGCUAGCUACGUACGCCCUUUAUUAGUCUUGUCUUUUUUUUUGUCCACUUGUUUGCAGUCAUGUGAGGGCACAACCUACAGCCAGUCUUACCGAACGCUCGGUGACUACCUAGCUGGCGUGGACCAUCGGGGACUGCGGCGACAGCAACGCCAAGGGGCUGGAGAUGGCGAGAUGCGAAGCGGUGGUUGCUCCCCGGCGCGGCAAGCUGAGGCGAAGGGGCCGCGUGGCCGCCCAGCGCUCGGCCUUGGCCUUGCUGUGCUGGUGCUGGCGCACGAAGCGGCGGAUCCGGUCGAGCGCGACCUCCAUGGUGUCGUCGUCCAUGUUGGCGUAGCAGACGCGGAACCAGCCGGGCUCGUUGCAGUGGAACGACGUGCCGGGCGACACGUUGAGCUUCACCCUGUGUACGAUGACCCGCCACAGCUCGAGCUCCGCGUCGUGCGUCUUCUCCCGGAGCAUGCCCCGCAGGUCCAUCCACGAGAAGAGGCCCGCGUUGCCCGGCAGGCACGCGAUGCCGACCUCGCGGAGGCCCGCGACGAAGCGGUCGUGGCGCGCCGCCAGCCGCCGCGCGCUCUC